GAUGAACGCUGGCGGCGUGCCUAAUACAUGCAAGUCGAGCGAACAGACGAGGAGCUUGCGCCUCUGACGUUAGCGGCGGACGGGUGAGUAACACGUGGAUAACCUACCUAUCAGACUGGGAUCACUUCGGGAAUCCGGAGCUAAUACCGGAUAAUAUCUUGAACCGCAUGGUUCAAUAGUGAAAGACGGCUUUGCUGUCACUUAUCGAUGGAUCCGCGCCGCAUUAGAUAGUUGGUAAGGUAACGGCUUAUGACGGCAACGAUGCGUAGCCGAACGGAGAGGGGGAUAGGCCACACGAGAACGUGAACGCGGUCCAGGCGACUACGGGAGGGAGCAGAAGGGAACCUUCCGCAAUGGGCGAGAGCCUGACGGAGCGAGGCGGCGUGUGUGAUGAAGAUCUUCGGAGCGUAAAACUCUGUUAUUAGGGAAGAACAAAUGUGUAAUUAACUAUGCACGUCUUGACGGUACCUAAUCAGAAAGCCACGGCUAACUACGUG
rnacentral:rRNA from 1 species